rnacentral:lncRNA from 1 species
AGUAGCUUUGGAGUCAUAAUGGCACUAUUUCAAGUCUUUUCCGGCCUUUAAGAGGGGCGCAGCCCUUGGGGCUUUGUCCUUUUAAUUUUCCAGAGCUGCUGCUUUCUUUUUUAAAAUGGUUUUGACAACAUGUGUAAAUAUCUUGUCGCAAAACUCAAUUAGACAAUGCAUAUAAGGCCCAUAUCACACUCUGCAGCUUGCUAGAUAAAUGUCGGUUAUCAUUACCAAAAACAACCCAAACAAUCAAUGUUUUACUUUAAGGGAUGUUAUGUGUGGCUCAGAGUUCCCCAUAUUGGUAUACAACUUUAAUUAGUGGACAUAGCCCAGAGUCCAAGAUGAGUCUCUGAACUGGCUUAUACUGAAUGGAAGUUACCCCUUCAGAACUAGUAGGAAUGAAUUGCCGGGUUUCUGACUUCCUUAAAUAACUGUCUGCUGCUUUACAAGUCUCUUGCAUCACGUACUUGCAGAUAUACAGGGUGAGUAGGCUGACAUAACAAAGUAUACAUUACAACACAAGGAAACAACGUGAUCAUCCAAAAGGGAUUGAAGUACAAAUUGAGCAGCGGUUCAUUUUCAUAAUUACUAACAGUCUACUCUUUUCAUUAUCUAGGUAUCAGCAAGACUUUUGAUCUUUUCAAAAAGUUUGUCAGUGAUCAAGAAGUGAAAGCGGGAGAGGUUGGAAAAAUACUGUUAAAUUGACAAUUAUAUCUUCUGUUUUAUAUUGGUCUUCAUGAUUGCAUAUGUUAGAGAAAUAGACAUGUUUCUUCCCAUACUAGUACAAUAUCAUUAUACAAUAAUUUCCAAGAUUUUAGGCAGCCUGCAAACCUCUAGUAAAUAUUUACUAGGUGUCAGGUAUUGUGCUGAGCACUAUACAUAA